ensembl:lncRNA
AGAACGAUGGGCACCAGCGCGAUGCCUUGGGGGACGAUGGGGACAAGUGCGAUCCUACGAUGGAGGUUUGGGACGCCUGCAAUGGGAUGAGGCUGUGAGGCGAUGAGUCACGCUGGGGAGGAGCGGGAGGCGGGGAGUCUGUGAGGGACGAUGGGGAAGGAGCGCCAGGCGGUGAGGCGAUGGAGAACGAUGGGCACCAGCGCGAUGCCUUGGGGGACGAUGGGGACAAGUGCGAUCCUACGAUGGAGGUUUGGGACGCCUGCAAUGGGAUGAGGCUGUGAGGCGAUGAGUCACGCUGGGGAGGAGCGGGAGGCGGGGAGUCUGUGAGGGAUGAUGGGGAAGGAGCGCCAGGCGGUGAGGCGAUGGAGAACGAUGGGCACCAGCGCGAUGCCUUGGGGGACGAUGGGGACAAGUGCGAUCCUACGAUGGAGGUUUGGGACGCCUGCAAUGGGAUGAGGCUGUGAGGCGAUGAGUCACGCUGGGGAGGAGCGGGAGGCGGGGAGUCUGUGGGGGAGGAUGCGGAAGGAGCGCGAGGCGGUGAGGCGAUGGGGACGAUGGGGACGACUGCGAUGGGACCCGGGACGAUGCUGACGAGGGGAUGCGAUGAGGGACGAUGGGGACGAGUGCGAUUCGGUGAGGGACGAUGGGGACGAGUCCGAUGCGACCGGGGACCAUAUGGACGAGCGCGAUGCGAUGAGGGACAAUGGGGACCAGUGCGAUGCGAUCGGGGACAAUGAGGAGGAGCGCGAUGCGGUGAGGGACUAUGGGGACGAGUGCGAUCCUACGAUGGAGGUUUGGGACGCCUGCAAUGGGAUGAGGCUGUGAGGCGAUGAGUCACGCUGGGGAGGAGCGGGAGGCGGGGAGUCUGUGAGAGAGGACGCGGAAGGAGAGCGCUGGGCAGUGAGGCGAUGGGUACGAUGGGCUCCAGUGGGAUGCGAUGGGGGAGGAUGGGGACGAGCGCGCGAUACAAUGGGGAGGAUGGGGACGCCUGCGAUGCGAUGAGGCGGUGAGGCGAGGAGGGACGAGGGAGACGAGUGCGAUGUGAUGAGGGAGGACGGAGACGCCUGCGUUGCCUUGAGGGAAGACGGGGCUGAGUUCGAUGCGGUGAGGGACGAUGGGGACGAGGGCGUUGGUGUUAGGACGGAUGGGGACGCCUGCAAAGCUAUGAGGCUGUGAGGCGAUGAGUCAAGCUGGCGAGGAGCGGGAGGCGGGGAGUCUGUGGGGGGCGACGCGGAAGGAGCUCAAGGCGGUGAGGAGAUGAGGCGAUGGGGUCGAUGGGGACGAAUUCGAUGCUGUGAGGGUCGAUGGGGACGAACGCGAGGCAGGGAAUCUGUGAGGGACGCUGCGGAAGGAGCGCCAGGAGGUGAGGCGAUGGCGGACGAUGGGGAUGGGUGCGAUGCAUGAGACUGGGAGGGGACGAGGCGAUGACUCACACCUGGGAGGAGCGGGAGGCGGGGAGUCUGUGAGGGACAAAGGGGAGGAGUGCUGUUGGUGAGGAGUCAAGUGAGGAUGGCACGGAGGGUGAGGCGGUGCCAGGAGGAGCCGGCGGAGGCAGGAAGGAUUCCCCCAGGGCCUCCGAAAGGGAGAGAAUGAAUUCCUGUGGCUUCAAGCUCCCUGUUUGUGGUCAUUUGUUCUGGCAGCUCCAAGAAGUGAGCAAAGCAGCCAUCCUGGCUUGUCCCUGCUGGAAGGGUUUCUGGGACAGGGGUGUUUCAGUGCUAAAAGCAGGAAAUCCGCGGAGAGCCCAGAUGAGUUGGGCUCUCCAGGCGCCCCUGCCUCAGGCUUGAACUUAGCAUCUGGUGCGAUAAGGAAGCAGGGACCGCCAGGGUCUGUCUGUGGGCUAGGAGCCUGUGCCCAGGUGGUGACCACAGUGCUCCUGACCGGGCUCUUAGGGGCAGCAGGCUGCAGGCCCUUGUGUGCAGGGCUGGCAGGGUGGUCGUGCAGGGCGUGCCAUCCACACCUCACCUGUUCUGCGGUGUGAAGCUGACCUUCAUCCUCACUGAGAUUCUCCAGCCUGAAGCCCCAGCAAUUCUGCCAACUGGCCGGUAGCACCUGAAGGAACGUCCUUCUGCUUAAAUCGGUUGUGGGAGGAAGCUGUGUCUGCAGCAACCCUCUGGAACGAGGGGCCUGCCCCGCAGUGGAGAGACCGGGCCCGCAGGACACAGCUGCACCAGGGCGCAUGGUACUGCCUUAGCACCGGGCACCUGCCACAGGGCGUGUCUUGAACCACAUCAGGCCUGGGCAGCCAGGGAGGUCUUUUCCAGGAAAGGAAAAGAAUUCAGCCUCAGGAAGCUCCCACCCUGUCUGAAGGCCCAGAUGGAGAGGAGAGGAAGAGGCUGCUCAAAUGAUGAAAUCACAUCAGAUCUGGAAGCUGGCUAAAAAUAACCCAGGAAGGAGAACGGUAAAGAGAUGGGGUGUAAGAGAAUCGAGCUGCCUCCCUGAUCUGGCACCUUCCUCAGACUGCCCCGUCCCCUGUCCUGAGGAAGGAGACGGCUGGACACCUUGGGUACGGGUCCCACACCUGCAGGCCAGAGAUGUCAUUCUCCUUGGUGCCACCAGCAGGAGCCCAGCCUGCUGGGGCCAUAAGCUCCCUUCCCCUCUCCUCCCCACGGAUCCACCUGAGAAAGGGAGGCUCUGGUUCCCUGCCAGCUCCUCCCUCCGGGGCAAGAGCCCAGAGCCACCCAGAGGCUUGCUUGGCCCCAAAGGUGAAAAGGGGGUCUGGCCAGAGGGGGCCCACGGCCUGCCCAUGGAGGACACUUUCAUCAACAGAUGUAUUUUUUUUUUUUGAGAGAGAAGCCAUUCUGAGUGUUUU